rnacentral:rRNA from 1 species
UACGGGGGAGCAAGCGUUGUUCGGAUUUACUGGGCGUAAAGGGCGCGUAGGCGGUCAGCACAAGUCAGUUGUGAAAUCUCCGGGCUUAACUCGGAAAGGUCAACUGAUACUGUGCGACUAGAGUGCAGAAGGGGCAACUGGGAAUUCUCGGUGUAGCGGUGAAAUGCGUAGAUAUCGAGAGGAACACCUGCGGCGAAGGCGGGUUGCUGGGCUGACACUGACGCUGAGGCGACGGAAAGCCAGGGGAGGCGAACGGG